rnacentral:rRNA from 1 species
UUAAAUUGAAGAGUUUGAUCAUGGCUCAGAUUGAACGCUGGCGGCAGGCCUAACACAUGCAAGUCGAACGGUAACACAGAGAGCUUGCUGCUU